CCGACCAUAGCUCAGUUGGUAGAGCGGAGGACUGUAGAAAUAACUGAAGGUAUCCUUAGGUCACUGGUUCAAAUCCGGUUGGUCGGA
rfam:Rhabditophanes sp. KR3021 genome assembly, scaffold: RSKR_contig0000040